rnacentral:rRNA from 1 species
AUGGUCCUAACAUCCUGAACGUGCCAGAUCUUGUCUGAUUUCAGACACCAAGCAGGGUCAGGCCUGGUUAGUACUUGGAUGGGAGAAAAAGCAAGAUAACUAUC